rfam:Blastocystis sp. NandII AV274scaffold_282, whole genome shotgun sequence.
AACUAAUCACGAUGGAUAUCUUGGCUCUUGAAACGAUGAAGAACGCAGCGAAAUGCGAUAGGUAAUGCGAAUUGCAGAACUCUGUGAGUCAUCAAAUCUUUGAACGCACAUUGCACUUCCUUUGGGAGUAUACUUGUUUGAGUAUUG